rnacentral:rRNA from 1 species
GCUUACGGCCAUACCACCCUGAGAACGCCCGAUCUCGUCUGAUCUCGGAAGCUAAGCAGGGUUGGGCCUGCUUAGUACUUGGAUGGGAGACCGCCUGGGAAUACCAGGUGCUGUAAGCU